CUCCAAUACCAGCACCGGCCAGUAGGGGUCACUGUGUGUGGAGGGAGGCAGGGAUAGGAAGUUACAGAAUAUCCCUGCCUCUCUCUACUACUCACUGAUCCGUGGGGGAGCAGCUACACAGCACAGAGAGUCCAGACAGCAGCUCUACAGCUCAGGUAAGUGAGGGAUGGGGGAAAGGCAGCAGGGACACAUGGGGACACUGAGACACUAGGGGACACAUGGGGACACUGAGACACUAAGGGACACAGACACUAGGGGACACAUGAUGACACAUACACUAGGGGACACUGAGACACUAGGACACAGACACUGGGAGACCUGGGAACACUGAGACACUUGGGGACACUGCAAAACAUGGGGACACUGAGACACUAGGGGACACUGAGACACUUGGGGACAUGGGAACACAGACACUAGGGGACACUGAGACACUAGGACACAUGGGGACACAGGCACUGUGAGACCUGGGGACACAGACACUUGGGGACACUGGAAAACAUGGGGACACUGAGACACUAGGGGACACAUGGGGAUGCUGAGACACAUGGGGACGCUGUGAGACAUAGGGACAUUGGGAGACAUUGGGACACGGAGACACUAUGUCCCCCAGCCAGUGUCCCUAGUGUCUCAGUGUCCCCAAGUCUCCCAGUGUCUGUGUCCCAUGUCUCUGUGUGCCUAGUGUCCCCAUGUGUCCCAAUGUCCCCAUGUCUAUGCCCACAACUGUCCCCAUGUCUCCCCAAGUAUCUGUCUCCCAGCCAGUUUCCCCUAGUCUCCCAGUAUCCCCUAGUCUCCCAGUGUCCCCUAGUCUCCCAGUGUCUUUGUUCCCAUGUCUGUGUCCCUAGUGUCUUAGUGUCCCCAAAUGUUUCAGUGUCCCCAUGUCUCCCAGUGUCUGUGUCCCUAGUGUCUCAGUGUCCCCAUUUCUCCCAGUUUCCCUAAAUGUCUCAGUGUCCCCAUGUCUCUGUGUCCCCGGGUCUCUCAGUGUCCCCAUGUCUCUCAGUGUCCCCAGUAUCCUAGUGACAUGGGGACACACUGAGACAUCGGGACACUGGGAGAAAUGGGGACACAGACACUGGGAGACUAGGGGACUGGGUGACAUGGGGACACUGACACUGUGAUACAUAGGGACACUGAGACACUGGGUGACUUGCGAGACUGAGACACUGGGAGACAGGGAGACACUGGGAGCAAUCCGUCUAUACAGCAGAAUCAAACUGUGAGUAGUUUGUUGGUGAUUUUACAGAAUUUUCACUCCUUGUGAUUUACACGCAUAACUAAUUAAUUAUACAAAUGAUUAAGGUUGGUAUUUUUUUCCAAGAAAGGUG